AAAAAGGCAACUCUAGUCUCAAAAUAGAAUAUUUACAUAAAUACAUAGAUGAGAGACUCUAUACUAACUGACUGACUGUCUGUCUAUGAAGCCUCUAACGUACUGAGAUGGAUGUUGGGACAGACCCCGCAACAUCCUAAUAACACAAAACUAAAAGAACAAAACAAUUGAGUCCUCCGGAAGCAAGGAGGCUCACCACUGACUCUAGAGUGCUCAGCUGGAUCAACGGCGUGCAGGAUGCUGAUCCGGG
rnacentral:lncRNA from 1 species